AAUUUUACUCGCGAUCCCUGACGGACGUCUGAGGAAAAUACUCAAGUAGUGCAGUGAAAGGAAAAAUUCUAACCUCGACCGUAAAUACCGCGUGUCCAUCGUGGCUAAGAUCUAGGCAAAAGAUCAGCCGACCAUUCCUACGUUUAUUAAGCGAAGGCCGAACCCAUCGGGUUUGGCCGUACGUAAUACCGUACGAAACGCCGGUCGUAGUGCCGUAAGCCGUACCCGCUACAGUCUCGUCACCUUACCACACAUAUAAAUACCCAGCGUCCCGAUCGACUACAGUAUGUG